rnacentral:rRNA from 1 species
GACGAACGCUGGCGGCGUGCUUAACACAUGCAAGUCGAACGGAAAGGCCCUGCUUUUGUGGGGUGCUCGAGUGGCGAACGGGUGAGUAACACGUGAGUAACCUGCCCUUGACUUUGGGAUAACUUCAGGAAACUGGGGCUAAUACCGGAUAGGAGCUCCUGCUGCAUGGUGGGGGUUGGAAAGUUUCGGCGGUUGGGGAUGGACUCGCGGCUUAUCAGCUUGUUGGUGGGGUAGUGGCUUACCAAGGCUUUGACGGGUAGCCGGCCUGAGAGGGUGACCGGCCACAUUGGGACUGAGAUACGGCCCAGACUCCUACGGGAGGCAGCAGUGGGGAAUAUUGCACAAUGGGCGGAAGCCUGAUGCAGCAACGCCGCGUGCGGGAUGACGGCCUUCGGGUUGUAAACCGCUUUCGCCUGUGACGAAGCGUGAGUGACGGUAAUGGGUAAAGAAGCACCGGCUAACUACGUGCCAGCAGCCGCGGUGAUACGUAGGGUGCGAGCGUUGUCCGGAUUUAUUGGGCGUAAAGGGCUCGUAGGUGGUUGAUCGCGUCGGAAGUGUAAUCUUGGGGCUUAACCCUGAGCGUGCUUUCGAUACGGGUUGACUUGAGGAAGGUAGGGGAGAAUGGACUUCCUGGUGGAGCGGUGGAAUGCGCAGAUAUCAGGAGGAACACCAGUGGCGAAGGCGGUUCUCUGGGCCUUUCCUGACGCUGAGGAGCGAAAGCGUGGGGAGCGAACAGGCUUAGAUACCCUGGUAGUCCACGCUGUAAACGGUGGGUACUAGGUGUGGGGUCCAUUCCACGGGUUCCGUGCCGUAGCUAACGCUUUAAGUACCCCGCCUGGGGAGUACGGCCGCAAGGCUAAAACUCAAAGGAAUUGACGGGGCCCCGCACAAGCGGCGGAGCAUGCGGAUUAAUUCGAUGCAACGCGUAGAACCUUACCUGGGUUUGACAUGGAUCGGGAGUGCUCAGAGAUGGGUGUGCCUCUUUUGGGGUCGGUUCACAGGUGGUGCAUGGCUGUCGUCAGCUCGUGUCGUGAGAUGUUGGGUUAAGUCCCGCAACGAGCGCAACCCUUGUUCACUGUUGCCAGCACGUUAUGGUGGGGACUCAGUGGAGACCGCCGGGGUCAACUCGGAGGAAGGUGGGGAUGACGUCAAGUCAUCAUGCCCCUUAUGUCCAGGGCUUCACGCAUGCUACAAUGGCUGGUACAGAGAGUGGCGAGCCUGUGAGGGUGAGCGAAUCUCGGAAAGCCGGUCUCAGUUCGGAUUGGGGUCUGCAACUCGACCUCAUGAAGUCGGAGUCGCUAGUAAUCGCAGAUCAGCAACGCUGCGGUGAAUACGUUCCCGGGGCU